UUUCCGUAGGUGAACCUGCGGAAGGAUCAUUAUUGUAUAACCGAGGUGCGAGGGCUGUCGCUGACCCGAAAGGUCGUGCACGCCCGAGUGCCCUCACACACAUCCAUCUCACCCCUAUGUGCACCACCGCGUGGGUCCCCCUUUGGCUUGUUCGGAGGGGGGCUUACGUUUUCACACAAACUUUGUAUGCAGUGUAGAAUGUAUUUUUUGUUUUUGCGAUCACGCAAUCAAUACAACUUUCAACAACGGAUCUCUUGGCUCUCGCAUCGAUGGAGAACGCAGC
rnacentral:misc_RNA from 1 species